UAUAUAUGGAUGUUUGGGGCAUAUUGAUUUUUGAAUUCAGUUGAUUUAGUUUAAUUCUAAAAUAUAUAA
rnacentral:tRNA from 1 species